GAUGAACGCUGGCGGCGUGCCUAAUACAUGCAAGUCGAGCGAACAGACGAGGAGCUUGCUCCUCUGACGUUAGCGGCGGACGGGUGAGUAACACGUGGAUAACCUACCUAUAAGACUGGGAUAACUUCGGGAAACCGGAGCUAAUACCGGAUAAUAUAUUGAACCGCAUGGUUCAAUAGUGAAAGACGGUGUUGCUGUCACUUAUAGAUGGAUCCGCGCCGCAUUAGCUAGUUGGUAAGGUAACGGCUUACCAAGGCAACGAUGCGUAGCCGACCUGAGAGGGUGAUCGGCCACACUGGAACUGAGACACGGUCCAGACUCGUACGGGAGGCAGCAGUAGGGAAUCUUCCGCAAUGGGCGAAAGCCUGACGGAGCAACGCCGCGUGAGUGAUGAAGGUCUUCGGAUCGUAAAACUCUGUUAUUAGGGAAGAACAAAUGUGUAAGUAACUAUGCACGUCUUGACGGUACCUAAUCAGAAAGCCACGGCUAACUACGUG
rnacentral:rRNA from 1 species